rnacentral:rRNA from 1 species
AUUGGACGCUGGCGGCAUGCCUUACACAUGCAAGUCGAACGGUAACGGGCCUUCGGGUGCCGACGAGUGGCGAACGGGUGAGUAAUACAUCGGAACGUGCCCGAUCGUGGGGGAUAACGAGGCGAAAGCUUUGCUAAUACCGCAUACGAUCUACGGAUGAAAGCAGGGGACCGCAAGACCUUGCGCGGACGGAGCGGCCGAUGGCAGAUUAGGUAGUUGGUGGGAUAAAAGCUUACCAAGCCGACGAUCUGUAGCUGGUCUGAGAGGAUGAUCAGCCACACUGGGACUGAGACACGGCCCAGACUCCUACGGGAGGCAGCAGUGGGGAAUUUUGGACAAUGGGCGCAAGCCUGAUCCAGCCAUGCCGCGUGCAGGAUGAAGGCCUUCGGGUUGUAAACUGCUUUUGUACGGAACGAAAAGCCUUCUUUUAAUACAGGAGGGUCAUGACGGUACCGUAAGAAUAAGCACCGGCUAACUACGUG